rnacentral:rRNA from 1 species
AACGUACGCUGGCGGCACGCCUAACACAUGCAAGUCGAACGAAGUAGCAAUACUUAGUGGCAGACGGGUGAGUAACAUGUGGGUAUCUGCCCUUUGGCCUGGAAUAACACGAGGAAACUUGUGCUAAUACCGGAUAAGUCUUUACGGAGAAAGCUUUAUGCACCAUUGGAUGAGCCCGCACUUGAUUAGUUUGUUGGUGGGGUAAUGGCCUACCAAGACUGUGAUCAAUAGCUGAUUUGAGAGGAUGAUCAGCCACAUUGGGACUGAGACACGGCCCAAACUCCUACGGGAGGCAGCAGUGGGGAAUCUUGCACAAUGGAGGAAACUCUGAUGCAGCGAUGCCGCGUGAGUGAAGAAGGCCCUUGGGUUGUAAAGCUCUUUCGUCGGGGAAGAAAAUGACUGUACCCGAAUAAGAAGGUCCGGCUAACUUCGUGCCAGCAGCCGCGGUAAUACGAAGGGACCUAGCGUAGUUCGGAAUUACUGGGCUUAAAGAGUUCGUAGGUGGUUGAAAAAGUUAGUGGUGAAAUCCCAGAGCUUAACUCUGGAACUGCCAUUAAAACUUUUCAGCUAGAGUAUGAUAGAGGAAAGCAGAAUUUCUAGUGUAGAGGUGAAAUUCGUAGAUAUUAGAAAGAAUACCAAUUGCGAAGGCAGCUUUCUGGAUCAUUACUGACACUGAGGAACGAAAGCAUGGGUAGCGAAGAGGAUUAGAUACCCUCGUAGUCCAUGCCGUAAACGAUGUGUGUUAGACGUUGGAAAUUUAUUUUCAGUGUCGCAGGGAAACCGAUAAACACACCGCCUGGGGAGUACGACCGCAAGGUUAAAACUCAAAUGAAUUGACGGGGACCCGCACAAGUAGUGGAGCAUGUGGUUUAAUUCGAAGAUACGCGCAGAACCUUACCAACACUUGACAUGUUCGUCGCGACUCUAAGAGAUUAGAGUUUUCGGUUCGGCCGGACGAAACACAGGUGCUGCAUGGCUGUCGUCAGCUCGUGUCGUGAGAUGUUGGGUUAAGUCCCGCAACGAGCGCAACCCUCACUUUUAGUUGCCAUCAUUAAGUUGGGCACUCUGAAAGAACUGCCAGUGAUAAGCUGGAGGAAGGUGGGGAUGACGUCAAGUCCUCAUGGCCCUUACGUGUUGGGCUACACACGUGCUACAAUGGUAUCUACAACAGGAAGCAAGACUGCGAAGUUAAGCAAAUCCCUAAAAGAUACCUCAGUUCGGAUUGCACUCUGCAACUCGAGUGCAUGAAGCUGGAAUUACUAGUAAUCGUGGAUCAGCGUGCCACGGUGAAUGCGUUCCCGGGUCU